rnacentral:rRNA from 1 species
UACGAAGGGGGCUAGCGUUGUUCGGAAUUACUGGGCGUAAAGCGUGCGCAGGCGGCCUUUCAAGUCAGUGGUGAAAGCCCGGAGCUCAACUCCGGAACUGCCAUUGAAACUGUUUGGCUUGAGUACGAGAGAGGUGAGUGGAAUUCCCAGUGUAGAGGUGAAAUUCGUAGAUAUUGGGAAGAACACCGGUGGCGAAGGCGGCUCACUGGCCCGGUACUGACGCUGAGGCACGAAAGCGUGGGGAGCAAACAGG